rnacentral:lncRNA from 1 species
ACUAAAACCAGAAAUUGUUCAUGAGCGAAAAAAGGGAAUUAUUCAGAAAAUCUAGUCAUGUGUUUUAAAGAUGGCCAUAAUUUCUUUGACACUGUCCAUUGAAAGUUGUCCCCUCUCGCCCAUUGAAUUCAAAUAGGCUUAGUGACCCAUUUGUAACCCAUAGAAUGUGGCAGAAGUGAAACUGUGUGGCUUCCAAGGCUAGGUCAGAAAGGAUGAUGCAACAUCCGCCUUGUCCCCUUGUCCACUGGAGCAUUUACUUUUUGAGCCCCAAGCUGUGAUGUGAGAAGUCUAACCACCUGAAGGCCACCAUGCUGUGAGGAAGCCCAAGCCACAUGGAGAGAGACCACAUGUAGACAGUCUUGCCUACAGUCCUAGCUUAGCCUAGCCCUGAGUCAUCCCAGCUCAGGUGACAGAUGAAGAUCUGUCAAUGAAGAUGCCUUCACCCCUGAGAUGACUGUGGCCCCAGAUGUUUGUGUCAGUGUUCCAGUCUUCCCACCUGGCCUCCAGGUGUCAAAAAACAGAAAGAAUCCAUCCCAGCUUUACCACUGUUGAAUUCAUGUCCAACAGCAUCCAUGAGGCUGAUACUGAUUUUUUUCAUUGCUAAGCAUGGGUUUCGGUUUUGUUUCAUUUUGCUUUGUUUUCAUGCAGAAAUAGAUGACUGGUACAUUGUGUAAUUUGAACUUAUAGGAUAAAUACUUCAGGAGAUGAUAUGUUGUAAAUAUGUUACCCUGAAACUGCAUUUUAUUUCUGAGUCAGAAUACUCAAUGCUUGUGGGUCUUGUUUCAUAGCA